rnacentral:rRNA from 1 species
UACGUAGGGUGCGAGCGUUAAUCGGAAUUACUGGGCGUAAAGCGUGCGCAGGCGGCUUACUAAGACAGGUGUGAAAGCCCCGAGCUUAACUUGGGAAUGGCGCUUGUGACUGGUAGGCUGGAGUGUGGCAGAGGGGGGUGGAAUUCCACGUGUAGCAGUGAAAUGCGUAGAGAUGUGGAGGAACACCGAUGGCGAAGGCAGCCCCCUGGGCUAACACUGACGCUCAUGCACGAAAGCGUGGGGAGCAAACAGG